CCUCCCAUUCCAGAUUGGAAUCCAAUCGACGUUUUUGUACUUUUGGCAAACAGUUUCGUAGCUAGAAUUAUGGCAAAACUGAAACUGAUAAGUUUGGUAUAGUCAGCCCUUACAGUCAUACUGUCAGUUUGGUGAUGAGGUCAGAGACACAGAGAGGACGUGAUGAGGCAUGAUCAUGGUUAUUCACUGGUUGAAGUGCAGUAUUUAUCAUGGCCAAAAGGUUCCUUCAUGAGAAGAUGUUUUUAUCAAGCUCAACUUGGAUUGUCAUAUUUGAGACAGCUUUGCAUCACUCCUUCCUUUUCUAAGGUUUUUUACUGGUUGAAGGGCGGCAUCUAUCAUGGACAAAAGCUUCCUUCAUGAGAAGAUGUUUCUAUCAAGCUCAACUUGGAUUGUCAUAUUUGAGACAGCUUUGCAUCACUCCUUCCUUUUCUAAGCUAUGUUAAAACAUGUUAUUCACUGGUUGAAGAGUAGUAUUUAUCAUGGACAAAAGCUUCCUUCAUGAGAAGAUCUUUUUAUCAAGCUCAACUUGGAUGUCAUAUCUGAGACAGCUUUGCAGCACUCCUUCCUUUUCUAAGGAUUUACACACAAAAUCAAUUGUCUGCCUCUACUAAAUGGUGAGCCAGCACCACAGAUGACUCGGACGCCAAUUAUAGCUCCCUAUUUGUUUGAUGUCAACCAAGUAUCUAGUCUGGAGGCCCAUCUCUGCAGUGAGGGCAACAAAGUUGGACUGUUAUGCAAUAACAUUUGGUGCAAGGACCAUGGGUACAAUCUGCUUGAGCCAUCAUGGAGCUGACGUUUGAGAACUGAAGAUGUCGCCCAUGUUUUCAGUCUUAAGGGCCAUCUCUGCAGUAAGGGCAACCAAGUUUGACUGUUAUGCGAGAACAAUUGGCGCAAGGACCACGGGACCAAUCUUCUUGCACUUUCAUGGAGCUGACAUUAGAGAACUGAGAAGACCACGGAUCAAUGGAGUCAUCUUGUACAGAUUCUCCUAAUGAAAAGACUGCUUUCACUUCAUCAACAAAUUCUUUAGUCAAACUACCACUUCCCUCCUGAUGGACCAUGGGUACAAUCUUCUUGCACUUUCAUGGAGCUGACAUUAGAGAACUGAGAAGACCACGGAUCAAUGGAGUCAUCUUGUACAGAUUCUUCUAAUGAAAAGACUGCUUUCACUUCAUCAACAAAUUCUUCAGUCAAACUACCACUUUCCUCCUUAUGGACCAUGGGUACAAUCUUUAUGCGCUAUCAUGGAGCUGACAUUAGAGAACUGAGAAGACCACGGAUCAAUGGAGUCAUCUUGUACGAAUUCUUGUAAUGAAAAGACUGCUUUCAGAUUAAACUACAACUUCCCUCCUCAUGGACCAUGGGUACAAUCUUUAUGCGCCAUCAUGGAGCUGACAUUAGAGAACUGAGAAGACCACGGAUCAAUGGAGUCAUCUUGUACGAAUUCUUGUAAUGAAAAGACUGCUUUCACAUUAAACUACAACUUCCCUCCUCAUGGUAAUCUUCAACUUCCCCUCAAAUUUAUGUCUAAUGACCACUUCGCUCCCUAUGUCUAAAUCACUUCUCUCCAUACAUCUAACUACCACUUCCCUCCAUACAUCUAACAUUCACUUCCCUCCAUACGUCUGACAACUUCUCUCCUUACGUCUUAUUCACUUUUCUUCAUACGUCUGACAACUUCUCUUCAUACGUCUGACAACUUCUCUCCUUACGUCUGACAACUUCUCUCCUUACGUCUGGCAACUUCUCUCCAUACGUCUAAGAACUUCUCUUCUAACGUCUAAUUCACUUCUCUUCAUUUGUCUAACAACUUCUCUACUUACGUCUGGCAACUUCUCUCCAUACGUCUAACAACUUCUCUUCUUACGUCUAUUCACUUCUCUUCAUACGUCUAACAACUUCUCUUCAUACGUCUAACAACUUCUCUCCUUACGUCUAAUUCACUUCUCUUCAAACGUCUGACAACUUCUCUCCAUACGUCUAUCAACUUCUCUUCAUACGUCUAACAACUUCUCUCCUUACGUCUGACAACUUCUCUCCAUACGUCUAAGAACUUCUCUUCUAACGUCUAAGUCACUUCUCUUCAUACGUCUAACAACUUCUCUACUUACGUCUGGCAAC